AAGUCGUAACAAGGUUUCCGUAGGUGAACCUGCGGAAGGAUCAUUACAAAUCCAACGUCUCUCUGAGACACCGUUGAAAUAUAGUGGAUCAGGCCUGGACUGGACCGGACUGGACUGGACGAGGGCAACCUCGGACAUCAUCCGCCCGCCCACCCUUGUCUGAUCUGCGAAAACUCACUAGAAACUGUUGAUCAUAUGUAUGCUUCUUAACAAAGAAACAACUUAUACCAAUGGAUCUCUAGGCUCUU
rnacentral:misc_RNA from 1 species